UUGACCUCGGAUCAGGUAGGAAUACCCGCUGAACUUAAGCAUAUCAAUAAGCGGAGGAAAAGAAACCAACAGGGAUUGCCUUAGUAACGGCGAGUGAAGCGGCAAUAGCUCAAAUUUGAAAUCUGGCGGCUUCAGUCGUCCGAGUUGUAAUUUGUAGAGGAUGUUUCGGGUACCGCCUCGGUUUAAAUUUCUUGGAACAGAAUGUCAGAGAGGGUGAGAGUCCCGUCUUGAACCACGGUAGGGCCUAUGUGAAACUCCUUCGACGAGUCGAGUUGUUUGGGAAUGCAGCUCAAAAUGGGUGGUAAAUUUCAUCUAAAGCUAAAUAUUGGCCAGAGACCGAUAGCGCACAAGUAGAGUGAUCGAAAGAUGAAAAGCACUUUGAAAAGAGAGUUAAACAGUAUGUGAAAUUGUUGAAAGGGAAGCGCUUGCAACCAGACUUGUGUCCGGUGGUUCCCCCUUCCUUUUGGUUGGGUUAUUCCACCGGGUCCCAGGCCAACAUCAGUUUGGAGGGUCGGUUAAAGGCUUAGGGAAUGUAUCUUCCGCUUCGGGGGAAGACUUAUAGCCCUAGGUGUCAUGCGACCUCCCCGGACUGAGGAACGCGCUUCGGCGAGGAUGUUGGCGUAAUGGUUGUAAGCGACCCGUCUUGAAACACGGACCAAGGAGUCUAACAUCUAUGCGAGUGUUCGGGUGUCAAACCCUUACGCGUAAUGAAAGUGAACGGAGGUAAGAAGGCCUGAGCCUGCAUUAUCGACCGAUCCUGAUGUCUUCGGAUGGAUUUGAGUAAGAGCAUAGCUGUUGGGACCCGAAAGAUGGUGAACUAUGCGUGAAUAGGGUGAAGCCAGAGGAAACUCUGGUGGAGGCUCGCAGCGGUUCUGACGUGCAAAUCGAUCGUCAAAUUUGCGUAUAGGGGCG
rnacentral:rRNA from 1 species